rnacentral:lncRNA from 1 species
GUCAUCCUCUCUCUCCAGCCCCUCUCAGGGAAUUUCUGCCAACUCCAUGCCAGGCGCUGCCUCCUCUCUCUCAUUGAAGCAUCACUGUAUCCUUUGUGUAUUUAACAAUUUUCUCAUCUGCAAACUGGAGAUGACGAUACUGGUACCUUCCUCACCAGGCCGCUGCUGAAUGAACAUGACAACCACCAUGCGUUAUUACAUUGCAGAUGCAGCAUCCCAGAGCCUGCCUGGGCCCCAUCCACAGGGCCCUGCCCAGUUUGUCUUCAUUCACUGCACUAGGGAGCUGGUGGGCAAGAAGAGCAGCCUCGGUGCUGUUCCACACAGAGCUGGGCUGGAACCAAGCCGAGUCCCACUUGGCUCUAGCAGGUCACUGGAUUCUCUGAGCCUCGGUAUCUCCAAUGGUGAAAGGAGCAUCGCAGUGCCUACCUGCAGGGCCUGAUGUGGAUUGUCCCAAAAGCGCAUGCCACAUGGUGGGGGCUCAAGAAAGCUGUCCCCCUCCCCACCUUCUUCUGGACCACGAAAUCCUGUGGUACACCUAGCCCCUCCCUCACCAGGCAGCCCUCUGACAUCGCAAAAAUUCAGGCUGAGCAUCUGAGCAUU